rnacentral:misc_RNA from 1 species
AAACCACAAGGGGAGCCGAAGCUCCCCCAGAAGUGUUUGCGUGCUCUAUUUUUAUUAUUGGUUUCGGGCUUCUUGUUUUUGUUUAACGCCCUUGUCACCUGGUUAACCCAGUGUGACCCUCCCAAUCGGGAGCCAAGAGCAAACGGAUUGCUUUGGUCGCUGUGUUGCGAUGAUCAAUGAUCCAACCAGUUCAGGCUCUGCCUUAGGGCAGUU